rnacentral:rRNA from 1 species
UAGGGAAUAUUGGACAAUGGGGGCAACCCUGAUCCAGCCAUGCCGCGUGAGUGAAGAAGGCCCUCGGGUUGUAAAGCUCUUUUGUCCGGAAAGAAAAGCUUCGGGUUAAUACCCCGGGGUUCUGACGGUACCGGAAGAAUAAGCACCGGCUAACUUCGUGCCAGCAGCCGCGGUAAUACGAAGGGUGCAAGCGUUACUCGGAAUUACUGGGCGUAAAGCGUACGUAGGCGGAUGCGCAAGUUGGGGGUGAAAUCCCGGGGCUUAACCUCGGAAUUGCCCUCAAAACUGCACGUCUUGAGACCGAGAGAGGUUAGGGGAAUUCCUAGUGUAGAGGUGAAAUUCGUAGAUAUUAGGAAGAACACCAGUGGCGAAGGCGCCUUACUGGCUCGGUACUGACGCUGAGGUACGAAAGCGUGGGGAGCAAGCA